GGCUAACGGUGGCUUAGUGGUUAGCACGUUCGCCUCACACCUCCAGGGUCCGGGGUUCGAUUCCCGCCGGGGUG